rnacentral:rRNA from 1 species
CAGGAUGAACGCUAGCUACAGGCUUAACACAUGCAAGUCGAGGGGCAGCAUGUGGUUGCUUGCAACCAAUGAUGGCGACCGGCGCACGGGUGAGUAACGCGUAUCCAACCUUCCCCUUAGUAGAGGAUAGCCCGGCGAAAGUCGGAUUAAUUACUCUAUGUUCUUCAAUGCGGACAUCUAAGUUGAAGCAAAGAUUUAUCGCUAAGGGAUGGGGAUGCGUCUGAUUAGGUUGCAGGCGGGGUAACGGCCCACCUGGCCUACGAUCAGUAGGGGUUCUGAGAGGAAGGUCCCCCACACUGGUACUGAGACACGGACCAGACUCCUACGGGAGGCAGCAGUGAGGAAUAUUGGUCAAUGGGCGCGAGCCUGAACCAGCCAAGUAGCGUGCAGGGUAACCGACUGACCCUAUGGGUUGUAAACUGCUUUUAUCAGGGAAUAAAGUGAGGCACGCGUGCCUUUUUGUAUGUACCUGAUGAAUAAGGACCGGCUAAUUCCGUGCCAGCAGCUGC